GACGAACGCUGGCGGCGUGCCUAAUACAUGCAAGUCGAGCGAAGUUUUUCUGGUGCUUGCACUAGAAAAACUUAGCGGCGAACGGGUGAGUAACACGUAAAGAACCUGCCUCAUAGACUGGGACAACUAUUGGAAACGAUAGCUAACACCGGAUAACAGCAUUAACUGCAUGGUUGAUGUUUAAAAGUUGGUUUUGCUAACACUAUGAGAUGGCUUUGCGGUGCAUUAGCUAGUUGGUGGGGUAAAGGCCUACCAAGGCGACGAUGCAUAGCCGACCUGAGAGGGUGAUCGGCCACACUGGGACUGAGACACGGCCCAGACUCCUACGGGAGGCAGCAGUAGGGAAUCUUCCGCAAUGGGCGAAAGCCUGACGGAGCAACGCCGCGUGAGUGAAGAAGGAUUUCGGUUCGUAAAGCUCUGUUGUUAGGGAAGAAUGAUUGUGUAGUAACUAUACACAAGAGAGACGGUACCUAACCA
rnacentral:rRNA from 1 species